GCGAAAGGAUACAGCAAAAACAGCUGAGAAACUAGUUGAGAUUGCUCGAAAGUAUGAUGAUUUGGAGCUCUUUAAAAAUGAUGCACAUCCUCAAUUUUCCUUGAUUAAGAAAGAGGUUGUUAAGUCUAGAAACAAGGAUGUUGUUGAACUUUUUGAAUUUGCUGUUGGCAUUCAUCACGCUGGGAUGUUACGUGCUGAUAGGGUUUUGACUGAGCAACUUUUCUCUGAUGGACUCUUGAAGGUACUUGUUUGCACAGCAA
rnacentral:misc_RNA from 1 species